rnacentral:lncRNA from 1 species
UUCCAAUUGAGUUUCCAAGCCAGUUAAGUGCACUCGUUAUUACAAUAUAAAGAAUUAUUAAGUAGUUAAUACCAAAUUAUGAUUUGUUGCAAUAUAAAAAAAAUACAUCAGAAAAAAAGUGUAAAAAAUUGGUUCAUUUUCAGCAAAUUGUUUUUGAUUAUGUCCCUUUGAUCUGAUAUAUAAAAUUGAUAGUGAUGUGUUUAUUUACUAUCUUAUUUAGUUUCUACGGAUACUUUAAUAUUAUGAAAUUGUUUGCUGAUUAUGAUAUAGUUGUAUUAAGAGGAUUUACUACAAAAAUUGCAAUUUGAUAUGAGGGGUGACACAAGGGUGCUCAUUUACACAGUCCUGCCUAUUGGUAAUAUUUUUUGAAGCUCCCCCUUCUUUUCCUCCUAUAUUCCACAUCCCUGAUUAAUUUACCCUCUUUAUUCCACAUCACAAUUAUAUAAAGUUCAUCAUACAUUCAAACAAAUAGUGUACUAGAUAUAAGAAGAUGUGGUAUGAGGGCCAAUGAGACAACUCUCCAUCCAAGUCACAAUUUAUAAAAGUAAACCUAUGAUAGGUCAAAGUACUGUCUUCAAAACAGAGCCUUAGUUUGUUUGAGUUUGAUAAAUUUUCAUCAGAUUUUAAAAUUGCAAAUUUUCUUUGAAGUAGCUAAUUUGUAUUAUUGUUGUUAUAAAAAUUGGAUAAUUUUCCCCAGGAUAUUUGUCAUUUAGUAAAAAAAAAGUUACAUUCUAGGUUUCAAUAGUAAAGAUGAAUUUCAAAAAUAAAAAUUCCACAGAUGAAGUCAUUGUUUUUAUUAGACCAACCAUCCAGUACUUGUUAUCUUUUUAACAAGAAACAAAUCAGAAAUAAAUUAUUUUGAUAUAUACAAUAGCAAUAAUGGUGAACAGCAAAAUUAGCAACUAAAAUUUAAUAUUUU